GAUGAACGCUAGCUACAGGCUUAACACAUGCAAGUCGCGGGGCAGCAUGUCGGUUGCUUGCAACCGAUGAUGGCGACCGGCGCACGGGUGAGUAACGCGUAUCCAACCUGCCCUUCACCACGGAAUAAUCCAGUGAAAAUUGGUCUAAUACCGUAUGAGGUCAUACGAUGGCAUCAGAAUAUGACGAAAGGUUUAGCGGUGAAGGAUGGGGAUGCGUCUGAUUAGCUUGUUGGCGGGGUAACGGCCCACCAAGGCGACGAUCAGUAGGGGUUCUGAGAGGAAGGUCCCCCACAUUGGAACUGAGACACGGUCCAAACUCCUACGGGAGGCAGCAGUGAGGAAUAUUGGUCAAUGGGCGCAAGCCUGAACCAGCCAAGUAGCGUGAGGGAAGACUGCCCUAUGGGUUGUAAACCUCUUUUGUUUGGGAAUAAAGUGCGGGACGCGUCCGCAUUGCAUGUACCAUUUGAAU
rnacentral:rRNA from 1 species